rnacentral:piRNA from 1 species
UAAUCGACCUGAACUCAGAAA